AUGCGAGGCUGGAAACAGGGCUGGGUUUGAAGCUUAGAACUAGGUUGAAAUUUGAGGGUUGGUUAAUUUGUAGAGAAAGGGUCGAGAAGAAAGGGGGAGAGCUCCCUCCCCACAACCCCGGUGACCCCAAAGAUGGCUGCCACAUGCCCAUUAUUGUGGUUUGGCUCUGGUUCAUGGAACUCUCUGAUUGCCAUUACAAAAAUAUUGAUGGAAUUUCCUCUCUCAGCGUUGUUUCUCAAGAUUAAUGAAGAUUGGGACUGGUUUAUCACAUUAAGUGCUGCUGAUUAUCCACUCAUGACUCAGGAUGGUAUUGAUUAUAUUCUUUAGGUUGUGGAUCGAAUUGGCAAGGAGCAUUGCAAAGUUAAUUUGCAAGAGGGAGAUUUUCCUUUGGUCACAACAAUCAUCUCAAGCCAAUUGCUGCAGCAUAUUGGAAGCAUACUGGGUCUCCUUUGAGUUCCCUUCCUUCUUUGGCUCAUAUAAGAAGUCCAAGUAGUGUUGUUCCAUCUCAGAUUGGUCCAAUAUCGAGAGUUGGCACUGACAGCUCGUCUCUUGUUCGAGAUGGAAGGGUCUGCACUAGCAGCCCUCUUGCUACUUCUGGAUUGGCCCGAUCCUUUGGCAUCGACUCCUUUUGGAUUGGCCCUAUUGUCGUCAUGGCUUGAUAUGAAUGGAGGAGGUAUUUUUUUUCUCCCAAUUAUAUGCCAGGACAAUCUUAUUUGUUGGAAUAGAGAUUUCUUGUUAUAUUUGCGUAAUUACUUAUUAAAUGAACUGUUAUGAACAGGCCAUGCGUUAAAUAAGCUUUUAAUGGUCUUGCUUGCUUAUUGACUGUUUUUUUUCUUUCUACUUAAGUGGUGCUUAUU